UCUUGCACGGCAUCUGCUACAGUUGCUGUCAUGAGCUUGAACAUUGUUGGAAGGCAAGUUAUUGGCCUAUAGUUACUUGGUACUGCACCUUUUUCAUAGUCUUUCAGAAGAAGACAGGCACUACUGGGCACUCUAGUGGGCACUACCUUGAUGAGGUGGAUGGGCUUGCAAGCUUCAAGGAUGCAGAGGACUAUGCUGGAGGGUCGUCCAAACCAGACUUCACUGCUGAGAAGUCAGACUAAAUGUGCCUAAUCCCACAACCAAGGAGAGAGAGAGAGAGAGAGAGAGAGCGCCACUUGCUCCUAGUAAUUCCAUAUCUUAUGGGACUCACUUAAAAGAAAAGGCAAAGAGAUGUAGCCUUUGACAUGACUACUUUGAAGAAAGUCCCCUUGCUUUCUCCAAUAUAUAACCAUGGAAACCUCCACCAUGUGUGUUUAGGAUAUAAUUUUGGAUCCCGCUCAGGUUUAAUCAGGAAGGUCCCACUCUGUGUGCACACAGUGCUUUGAUACUACUGCCCAGAACAAAACUCAGUCUGCAGACACAUGAAAACAAGUUGUUCUAGUAAGAAUUAAUCAG